rnacentral:rRNA from 1 species
UGGUGGAGUGAUUUGUCUGGUUAAUUCCGAUAACGAACGAGACCUUAUCCUGCUUAAUAGUUUGCCAGACUUCGGUCUGGAGAAACUUCUUAGAGGGACUAUGAAUGUUUAAUUCAUGGAAGUUUGAGGCAAUAACA